UUACAUGUGCACAGUCUCUUCUCCCCAUGU
rnacentral:piRNA from 1 species